GUGGCGAAAGGGUGAGUAACGCGUGGGUAAUCUGCCUUCAAGACUGGGGUAACUCCGCGAAAGCGGUGCUAAUACCGGAUGUGAUGGUUCCUCGCAUGGGGGACUUAUUAAAUGGUGGGGAUCCUUCGGGACCUGUCGCUUGAAGAUGAGCCCGCGUCCCAUCAGCUAGUUGGUGAGGUAAUGGCCCACCAAGGCUUACGGGUAGCUGGUCUGAGAGGACGACCAGCCACACUGGGACUGAGACACUGCCCAGACUCCUACGGGAGGCUGCAGUCGAGGAUCUUUUGCAAUGGGCGCAAGCCUGACAAAGCGACGCUGCGUGGAGGAUGACGGCCUUCGGGUUGUAAACUCCUGUCAUUCGGGAAAAAUGAUACAUCUCUGAACAGGGGAUGUGUCCUGAUGGUACCGGAAGAGGAAGCCACGGCUAACUCUGUGCCAGCAGCCGCGGUAAUACAGAGGUGGCGAGCGUUGUUCGGAUUUACUGGGCGUAAAGGGCGCGUAGGCGGCUUCGCGUGUCGGGUGUGAAAUCCCACGGCUCAACUGUGGAAUGGCAUCCGAAACUGUGGGGCUAGAGUGCAGGAAGGGAGAGCGGAAUUCUUGGUGUAGCGGUGAAAUGCGUUGAUAUCAAGAAGAACACCGGUGGCGAAGGCGGCUCUCUGGAAUGCAACUGACGCUGAGGCACGAAAGCCGGGGGAGCAAACAGGAUUAGAUACCCUGGUAGUCCCGGCCCUAAACGGUGUGCACUUGGUGUGGGAGGUAUUGACCCCUUCCGUGCCGGAGCUAACGCGUUAAGUGCACCGCCUGGGGAGUACGGCCGCAAGGCUAAAACUCAAAGAAAUUGACGGGGGCCCGCACAAGCGGAGGAGCAUGUGGCUUAAUUCGAUGCAACGCGAAGAACCUUACCAGGGCUUGACAUGUAGCUGCAAGUCCCGUGAAAGCGGGAUUCCUUCGAGGGUGCUACACAGGUGCUGCAUGGCUGUCGUCAGUUCGUGCCGUGAGGUGUUGGGUUAAGUCCCGCAACGAACGCAACCCCUGUGUCUAGUUGCCACCCCUGAUGUUGAGUCAGGGAGCACUCUAGACAGACUGCCCGUAUACGCGGGAGGAAGGUGGGGACGACGUCAAGUCAGUAUGGCCCUUACGCCCUGGGCUGCACACGUGCUACAAUGGCCGGUACAGAGGGAUGCAAGACCGCGAGGUGGAGCAAAUCCCCCAAAACUGGCCUCAGUUCGGAUUGAAGUCUGAAACUCGACUUCAUGAAGUUGGAUUCGCUAGUAACGGCGCAUCAGCUACGGCGCCGUGAAUACGUUCCCGGGCCUUGUACACACCGCCCGUCACAUCAUGAAAGCCGUCUGCACCCGAAGUCGCUGAGCGAACCCGCAAGGGGCGCAGGUGCC
rnacentral:rRNA from 1 species